CCUACGGGAGGCAGCAGUGAGGAAUAUUGGGCAAUGGACGCAAGUCUGAACCAGCCAUGCCGCGUGCAGGAAGACGGCCCUAGGAGUUGUAAACUGCUUUUGUACGAGGGUAAACGCAGAUACGUGUAUCUGUCUGAAAGUACCGUACGAAUAAGGAUCGGCUAACUCCGUGCCAGCAGCCGCGGUAAUACGGAGGAGUCAAGAGUUAUCCGGAUUUAUUGGGUUUAAAGGGUGCGUAGGCGGUCGGGUAAGUUAGAUGUGAAAUCCCGGGGCUCAACUUCGGAAUUGCCUCUGAUACUGUUCGGCUAGAGCGUAGUUGCGGUAGGCGGAAUGUAUGGUGUAGCGGUGAAAUGCUUAGAGAUCAUUCAGAACACCGAUUGCGAAGGCAGCUUAC
rnacentral:rRNA from 1 species